UACGGAGGGUGCAAGCGUUGUUCGGAAUCACUGGGCGUAAAGGGCGUGUCGGCGGUCCGCUAAGUCUGAUGUGAAAGCCCGGGGCUCACCCCCGGAAGGGCAUUGGAAACUGGCGGACUCGAGUCCCGGAGAGGAAGGUGGAAUUCCUGGUGUAGCGGUGAAAUGCGUAGAUAUCAGGAGGAAUACCGGUGGCGAAGGCGGCCUUCUGGACGGCGACUGACGCUGAGACGCGAAAGCGUGGGGAGCAAACAGG
rnacentral:rRNA from 1 species